CUCCUCCAUCUCUCCUCCAUCUCUUCACUCUCCUCCAUCUCUUCACUCUCCUCCAUCUCAUCAUUCUCCUCCACCUCUCCUCCAUCUCUUCACUCUCCUCCAUCUCUUCACUCUCCUCCAUCUCAUCAUUCUCCUCCACCUCUCCUCCAUCUCUUCACUCUCCUCCAUCUCUUCACUCUCCUCCAUCUCUUCUCCAUCUCUUCACUCUCCUCCAUCUCUCCUCCAUCUCUUCACUCUCCUCCAUCUCUUCACUCUCCUCCAUCUCUCCACUCUCCUCCAUCUCUCCUCUCCUCCAUCUCUCCUCAAUCUCUCCUCUCCCCCAAUCUCUCCUCUCCUCAAUCUCUCCUCUACUCCAUCUCUCCUCUCCCCCAUCUCUCCUCUAUUCCAUCUCUCCUCAAUCUCUCCUCUACUCAAUCUCUCCUCUACUCAAUCUCUCCUCUCCUCCAUCUCUCCUCUCCUCCAUCUCUCCUCUCCUCCAUCUCUCCUCUCCUCCAUCUAUCCUCUACUCCAUCUCUCCUCCAUCUCUCCUCAAUCUCUCCACUCCUCCAUCUCUCCACUCCUCCAUCUCUCCACUCCUCCAUCUCUCCACUCCUAUAUCUCUCCACUCCUAUAUCUCCCCUCAAUCUCUCCUCUACUCCAUCUCUCCUCUACUCAAUCUCUCCUCUACUCCAUCUCUUCUGUCCUCCAUCUCUUCUGUCCUCCAUCUCUUCUCUCCUCCAUCUCUCUACUCCUAUGUCUCUCCUCCAUCUCUCCUCUCCUCCAUCUCUCCAUCUCUCCACAUAGGCUAUAAGAACACCAUAUAUCUUCCAUACAACCCCUUCUCUCUCUCUCUCUCUAUCACUCUUUCCAAUCCCCCCUCCUCACACCUCCCUUCUUUUUCUCUUUGCCUGCUGCUCCCUCACUUGCCCGGUCUCAUUGUCUUCACACACAGCCGGAGUGUUUUAGUGUGAGUGUGUGUACGGCGUAACCAACCCAUUCUGCAGUGGAGCCGCGGAGCACAGGGGGAGCCUGAGUUACUACAUGUCUUAGUCAGACCACGCCCCAGUUCACCUUCUCCUGUCUCUCUUUCUC
ensembl:lncRNA